rnacentral:rRNA from 1 species
GAUGAACGCUGGCGGUAUGCUUAACACAUGCAAGUCGAACGGUCACUUCGGUGAUAGUGGCGGACGGGUGAGUAACGCGUGAGAAUCUGUCUUCAGGUCGGGGACAACAGUUAGAAAUGACUGCUAAUACCGGAUAUGCCUUAUGGUGAAAGAUUUAUUGCCUGAAAGAGAGCUCGCGUCAGAUUAGCUAGUAGGUGGUGUAAGAGACUACCUAGGCGACGAUCUGUAGCUGGUCUGAGAGGACGAUCAGCCACACUGGAACUGAGACACGGUCCAGACUCCUACGGGAGGCAGCAGUGGGGAAUUUUCCGCAAUGGGCGAAAGCCUGACGGAGCAAUACCGCGUGAGGGACGAAGGCCUUUGGGUCGUAAACCUCUUUUCUCAAGGAAGAUUUAGACGGUACUUGAGGAAUAAGCAUCGGCUAACUCUGUGCCAGCAGCCGCGGUAAU